UUUUGAGUGUUAUGAGUUAAUAAGUGUUUGAAAACAUGGAGGCUAGUGGCGGCGUUACGGUGGUCGGAUCAGAUGCUCCGUCGGAGUACCACGUAGCUCCAAGAACAGACAACCAAACUCCGAUAUGCCGUCUGCUCCGUUGCCGCCGGUGAUCAAUUUCAUGGCGGAGAAGCGUGCAAAAGUGAAGCCAGUUAGCUCUAUGAUAUGCUUCUCUGUUAAACAAACAUGAAGGAUGGGAGAAAGAAAACUAAGGUGAGAGGUGAGAACCAAGCUGAUGGCACAUGUUUCCAAGGGUGGUGUGAAUUACUACCUCCAUGUUUCACUUUUGGUGGUGUAUCUAGCAAAAACAAUAAAUGAAAUAUUAAUCAAUAUAAUAUGUUUCCUUUUUUUAAUGUUUUAUUUUUAGCAGGUAACCAAACCGCCACCUGUCCAGAAAAGUGUAGGUUGUGCAUGGUGCACAAAUCUUUCUCUUGUGCAUGCUAAAUACCACCUUCAUACUUUAAAAGGACAUCUACAUCAUCACCAAUAAUACACUCUUCAACCAAGUAUAUUUCAGUA
rnacentral:lncRNA from 1 species